GACCAGACUCCUACGGGAGGCAGCAGUGAGGAAUAUUGGUCAAUGGGCGAGAGCCUGAACCAGCCAAGUCGCGUGAGGGAGUACUGCCCUAUGGGUUGUAAACCUCUUUUGUCGGGGAGCAAAAGCCGGACGUGUCCGGCUGUGAGAGUACCCGAAGAAAAAGCAUCGGCUAACUACGUGCCAGCAGCCGCGGUAAUACGUAGGGAGCGAGCGUUAUCCGGAAUUAUUGGGUGUAAAGGGUGCGUAGACGGGAAAGCAAGUUAGUUGUGAAAUCCCUCGGCUUAACUGAGGAACUGCAACUAAAACUACUUUUCUUGAGUGCAGGAGAGGUAAGUGGAAUUCCUAGUGUAGCGGUGAAAUGCGUAGAUAUUAGGAGGAACACCAGUGGCGAAGGCGGUCAACUGGACAGCAACUGACGCUGAGGCGCGAAAGCGUGGGGAGCAAACAGGAUUAGAUACCCCAGUA
rnacentral:rRNA from 1 species